rnacentral:SRP_RNA from 1 species
CUCGUCAGGGUCGAAAGCAAGCAGCC